rnacentral:tRNA from 1 species
GGGGUUGGGGAUUUAGCUCAGUGGUAGAGCGCUUGCCUAGCAAGCGCAAGGCCCUGGGUUCGGUCCUCAGCUCCG